rnacentral:lncRNA from 1 species
UCCAUCUUCCUCUUGACGCUGGUAGGAAAGUGGUGCGCCAGAAGAAGCUCCUUGAACCUCAUCCAAGUAAUCGCUGCCAAGUCAGUGUUGGGGUUGUCCUGGAUAUCCAACCACCAACGGUAGGCCUCGCCGUCCAGAAAGUGAGUGGCGAGCCACACUCUGUCCCUCUCCUCCACGAAAGUAUCGCGAAAAAGCUUCUCCAUGUGCAUCAACUACUUCUCAACAAUCCAGCGGUCGACGUUUUCGCCAUCAAACGUCCUCUGGCUGCAUCUCCUGAACUCACUGAGGCGAUCCAUGAGCCGAUCCCGCUCGGCUCCCUCGGCCAUCACGGGGAAUGCCGCCCCUGUCGCCGGCCUCUGAACUGGUAGUGCCGCAGCUACCUCCUCCCGAGGUGCGGUCGCCGGUGCCGCACGUGAAGAACUGGGCGCGGGGGACUGCGCCCUCGGUGCGACGUCCACCACGGGUACUGGCGGUGUGGGACCCUAGGUCUCCCUCGAAGCUGCCGCCUGCUGAAGUAGGAGGUCCUCAGGAUGCUUGAUCUGCGCCUCCUGUCGCUGAGCCACCUCAGCCUGUCGCUGCGCCGCUGUCGUCUGCUGCGCCAACAGAUCAGUGAGAACCGCAAGCUGGGCCCUCAAGUCACGGACCUCACCAGAUCCGAAAGUAGCGGAGGUCUCGACCUCCUCGGGAUAUGCCGCAUCAUCCGCCCCGGUAGACUGGGAGCGUGUAACCGGCAUCGUCACUACAAAACAUAAAAGCGCAAGUUAGUAACCCACGCUAUCGCAACCCUGCUCAAAUAGAUAAAACCCAAAUCAUGCGAAAGUAAGGAAGUGUCCUUCACUACUAACUCCCGAUGUUACGUUGUCGGCCGCCAACGUAACCCUCCGCGAAGUUAGAAGCCAUACACUCCGAUCAAACUCUAACAUUUUAGAGUUAUCAUAAACCCAAUCGAAAUACUUUCACUCACAAGUCAAUUAGACCUCGUCUCUCACGAGCCUAAUUCCUAUAGUCCAACCGGCCUAAGGUUUGCAAGGUCGAUUAAGACUCAACCCUAGGCUCUGAUACCAAAUUAAUCUGUCACGCCCCGGGACCGGCGGAGGCCCUCCCGGUAGCGUGCCCAGACCCGCCAUAUG